rnacentral:rRNA from 1 species
GACGAACGCUGGCGGCGUGCUUAACACAUGCAAGUCGAACGAAGAGCGAUGGACGCUUGCUUCUAUCAAUCUUAGUGGCGAACGGGUGAGUAACGCGUAAUCAACCUGCCCUUCAGAGGGGGACAACAGUUGGAAACGACUGCUAAUACCGCAUACGAUCUAAUCUCGGCAUCGAGGAUAGAUGAAAGGUGGCCUCUACAUGUAAGCUAUCACUGAAGGAGGGGAUUGCGUCUGAUUAGCUAGUUGGAGGGGUAACGGCCCACCAAGGCGAUGAUCAGUAGCCGGUCUGAGAGGAUGAACGGCCACAUUGGGACUGAGACACGGCCCAGACUCCUACGGGAGGCAGCAGUGGGGAAUCUUCCGCAAUGGACGAAAGUCUGACGGAGCAACGCCGCGGGAGUGAUGACGGCCGUCGGGUUGUAAAGCUCUGUUAAUCGGGACGAAAGGCCUUCUUGCGAAUAGUGAGAAGGAUUGACGGUACCGGAAUAGAAAGCCACGGCUAACUACGUG